ACGUAGGUGACAAGCGUUAUCCGGAAUUACUGGGCGUAAAGCGCACGCAGGUGGUUUUGCAAGUCUGGCGUGAAAUCUCCUGGCUUAACCAGGAGCGGUCGCUGGAAACGGCAAGACUUGAGGCGAGGAGAGGGGUGCAGAAUUCCCGGUGUAGUGGUGGAAUGCGUAGAGAUCCGGAGGAACCCCGGUGGCGAAGGCGACUUGCUGGGCCUGAACUGACGCUCAGACGCGAAAGCAUGGGGAGCGAACGG
rnacentral:rRNA from 1 species